GAAUUUUCCGCAAUGGGCGAAAGCCUGACGGAGCAACGCCGCGUGAGGGAGGAAUGUCUGUGGAUUGUAAACCUCUUUUCUCAGGGAAGAAGAUCUGACGGUACCUGAGGAAUAAGCAUCGGCUAACUCCGUCCCAGCCGCCGCGGUAAGACGGAGGAGGCAAGCGUUAUCCGGAAUUAUUGGGCGUAAAGCGUCCGCAGGCGGCUUUUUAAGUCUGUUGUCAAAGCCCACAGCUCAACUGUGGAUCGGCAAUGGAAACUGGGAGGCUUGAGUGUGGUAGGGGUAGAGGGAGUUCCCGGUGUAGCGGUGAAAUGCGUAGAUAUCGGGAAGAACACCAGUGGCGAAGGCGCUCUACUGGGCCACAACUGACGCUGAGGGACGAAAGCUAGGGGAGCGAAAGGG
rnacentral:rRNA from 1 species